AUCCAGCUGACGAAUCCCAAAUAGGAAGAAACGCUCCUUGUCCUGGAU
rnacentral:hammerhead_ribozyme from 1 species